rnacentral:rRNA from 1 species
ACGAACGCUGGCGGCGUGCUCCACCCCUGCCAGUCGCACGGAAAGGCCCUGCUUUUGUGGGGUGCUCGAGUGGCGAACGGGUGAGUAACACGUGAGUAACCUGCCCUUGACUUUGGGAUAACUUCAGGAAACUGGGGCUAAUACCGGAUAGGAGCUCCUGCUGCAUGGUGGGGGUUGGAAAGUUUCGGCGGUUGGGGAUGGACUCGCGGCUUAUCAGCUUGUUGGUGGGGUAGUGGCUUACCAAGGCUUUGACGGGUAGCCGGCCUGAGAGGGUGACCGGCCACAUUGGGACUGAGAUACGGCCCAGACUCCUACGGGAGGCAGCAGUGGGGAAUAUUGCACAAUGGGCGGAAGCCUGAUGCAGCAACGCCGCGUGCGGGAUGAAGGCCUUCGGGUUGUAAACCGCUUUCGCCUGUGACGAAGCGUGAGUGACGGUAAUGGGUAAAGAAGCACCGGCUAACUACGUG